rnacentral:lncRNA from 1 species
AACAUUUUUUCUACCUUGAAAAGAAGGAAUCUUCAUCUUCAUAGAAUUGACAUUAUUGUCCCUCCUUUCGGGUCUUCUUUAUAAUGCUGACUCUUCAAUAUCUUCAUCUAUUUCCCUUUCUAUCUCGUCAUCAUUCAACAUAUUUCCUCUUCCCCUAUUUUGCCUCCUUUAAUUAGGACCACCUUGUCGACCUCGAAGGCUAUCUAUAUCACCUU